UUCUGAGGAAGAUAUGCCAUCGAUGUUUGAGGACCGUAUUAGCGAUUUUGGUGUAUAUUUUAAAAGAGCCGUACAGACGACGACGAACGACGCAGACGAAAGAGUCGAACACCGAAGACGAUGACGCAAUCUGUACAUGUAGUAUGCUCGAGUCCAUGUGCCUGUCUUGUGGAUGUCGAUGUCGCGAAUCGUUGGACUGCGGCAAAUAUGUCAAAGCGUUUACCAGAGGUACCUUGAACUCGAAAUUUAACCUAUGAAGACACCCGAGUGUGUUUGUACCGACAGCGACAGUGCCAUGAGAUGUCGUUGCUGCUGCCACCGAGACUUCUACUGACCUACAUUUUGUACUGUUUGUUUGGGUAUACAAAUACAUUGUUCGUAAUGUCACGUCGUGUACAAAGGGACUCGCCACUACGGAGACCAUUUCGCCUAGAAGAAUGGUUUUCUUCUUCGGAUGCCAGAAAAUAAUACUCUACGAGGUUCAUGAUGGCAGUUUUAAUGCACUUUAAGAAGAGAGUGCUGAAAUGCUGAUGUUUUGGCUGUUCGGAAACUAGCAAAGUCGAUUGCAUCUUAUUCAAGAUGAUUGCCAAGAGUAGAAAAUUAAUGAACAGUUUUUGAGAGGAUCCAUCCUAUGGUACAGACUACAGAGGAACAAACACGUACUUAGUAUUUGGUAUUUCAUGGUAUAAGAUCAGUUUGCAAAUGUGAUCUUCAACGCUGGUAUCAGAAGGAGCUACAGUUGUUGUAGAAGACGAUGUAAUCGGAUUUUCUGUUGAAGACAUGAUUAUUUACAUGAUUACAACUGCAAUAAUGAAUCCAUCUGAAAAAACACCUAGGUAAAAAUUAGUCUGUAAAUUACUUGUAUAUUACACUAUUUGAUAGAUGAAAACUACUUAUACGAACCGAUUCAACAGAGAUUAUGAUGAACGAUGCGCAUUGAGAAAUGUGAAAGUUUAAUAACGCGAAAACAUCGUACUUUUAAGCUAUCAUUAAUUACUCGAAUCGAACAUAUGGAUUCAGAUGAAUGUAACUUCGAGUUGCAGUUACUCCUUGGCUGCGAUUUUAUGUGGAAAAGAUACUACGGGGAAUAGUUAUUUCGGAGAAUGAACGCGAUUAAUUAAUUGAUAAACUCGAUGAAAUUAAUUACGUUUUGGAUAAGAAAAAGAAAGAAUAAGAAAACACCAAAA